GUUGUCGACACUUUUUCUUUAGACCCAAAUUCCAAACAAUAACCCUUGUAAAUGAGGAAAUUAAGUGACAACUUUGUAUACUGUCAUCAGGAAUCAAUUCAAAGGCUCUAAAAUUUAUGAAUACGAAUGUCUCAGUCAGGGCUGGCUCACUGCUGAGACAACCAGUGGGUAACACAGUGAAAGACUGUGGUUGGCCAGCUCUCUUCUGAGGGAAACUUAAGGACUCCAGCUCCUGCUGUCCUGUAGCUUGGGCCUCCUCUGGUGUUUGGAGUGUUCUCCACUCAGUUGAUUGAUGGGCCUCAGAAGGGAGCAUUUAGCUUAGGAGGUUUUAGUGGGGCAGUCCUGGCCCUGGUACUCAUCACUUCUGUUCACAUUCCAUUGGCCAGAACUCAGUCAUGUGGCCACACCUAACUACAAGGGAGUCUGGGAAAUGUAGUCUGGCUGGAUGCCCAGGAAGAGGAGGUGAAGACCAGCCAUUCCUGCCAACUCUGCCAAAAGGAAGAACUAUGGCACCGUUUCAGGAACUGUAGUGCAUUGUGAAAAGUCAAGGAAACAAGUGAUAUGAAGAAGAAAGCAAACACUCCUUACAGCUCCCAGCCCAGUGGUUCAGCUCAUGUGAAAAUGACUGUGCUGUUGACGCCAGUGUGGUUCCACGGCAGCCUCGCCUGCCGCAGUACCUUCCAUCUCCGCCACCUCUGCCAGCACGUCACCCCAGAGGAUCUGUCGAGGACUCGAAUUUGUGGGCAAGCAGAGCAGGCGAUUGACUUGUCCUCAGCACAUCUCCUGGCCCAUAUACACAGCGGUCCUGGACUUAGCGCCUGCAAAAGGAAACCCCAAAACUCAGCUGCCUUGUCCCGUGUCAGUUUACAUUCAUGCACAAAAGUGGCCCUACUUCUAAGGUCAUCUGUGAGGCCUCCUGCUUCCCGGGAGGUCAGAUAACUAUGAAGUCCAUGAUUGCUUUGAUGGGGACUUUUACACUGAAUCUUGAAUUUACGAUGGAAGGAAAGUUUUUCUUCUUUUUGUUAGUGAUCUGAAAUGUUUGAUGGCCCCUCUAAGGGAAUACUGUAGGGUUUUAGCUAGUCAUGAGCACAGGGGAGAUGUAAUGACACUCAUUUGCCUGGUAAAAUCUAAAUGCUGAUAGCAGCUGUUUUAAAUUCCGUGAA